rnacentral:rRNA from 1 species
AGGCUACCGCUAUUGGAGUUCGAUUAAGCCAUGCGAGUCGUGAGUCCUAGGGACUCGGCGUACCGCUCAGUAACACGUAGGUAACCUGCCCUAUGCUGGGGGAUAACCUCGGGAAACUGAGAAUAAUACCGGAUAGAUCACAACGCCUGGAACGGUGUGUGGUUGAAAGGUUAGCGGCAUAGGAUGGGUCUGCGGCGUAUCAGGUCGUAGGGGGUGUAAUGGACCCCCUAGCCAUCGACGCGUACGGGUGUUGGGAGACAUAGCCCGGAGACGGAUUCUGAGACACGAAUCCGGACCCUACGGGGUGCAGCAGGCGCGAAAACUUCACACUGCAGGAAACUGUGAUGAGGGAACUCCAAGUGGAUGCACAUAGUGUAUCUCUUUUCUUUACUAUAAUCGGUCUUGGAAUAAGGGCUGGGAAAGACCGGUGCCAGCCGCCGCGGUAAUACCGGCAGCUCGAGUGGUCGUCGCUUUUAUUGGGCCUAAAACGUCCGUAGCCGGUUUGGUAAAUCUGUGGGUAAAUCAGCUAGCUUAACUAGUUGAAUUCUGCAGAGACUGCCAGACUAGGAACCGGGAGAGGUGUGGGGUACUCAAGGGGUAGGGGUAAAAUCCUGUCAUCCUUUGAGGACCACCAGUUGCGAAGGCGCCACACUGGAACGGAUUCGACGGUCAGGGACGAAGCCUAGGGGCACGAACCGGAUUAAAUACCCGGGUAGUCCUAGGUGUAAACGCUGUGAACUUGGUGUCGGGAGUCCGUGAUGGGCCCCCGGUGCCGGAGUGAAGAUGUUAAGUUCACUGCCUGGGGAGUACGGUCGCAAGGCUGAAACUUAAAGGAAUUGGCGGGGGAGCACUGCAACGCGAGGAGCGUGCGGUUUAAUUGGAGUCAACGCCGGG